GUCUAACCUUCAGACCUGAAGUUUCAGAUCCUUCCCUGGGUAUUCUCUUCUCUCUGCAGACACUCCAUGAUGGCUGCAAGAAGGAAACAGGCGGGAUCCUGCCAUCAUCUGUGACUUUCGAAUUCCCAGUGCCUGACAAUGUUAGAAAUCUCAUCCAGCCUACAUCCUGUUCCCUGGAAUAGCAGGAAUGGACCUGCAGCUGCUGAAGUCUGCAUUAUCCAAUGAUGCUUUUGGGGAAGAUGCUGUCCACUUCCAGACAUGGAAUCACUGAAUUCAUUUGUGAAUGAGACAGUAGCUUCAGCUCCCAUAGCUCGAAGGAAAUCUGAACAACUGGAAAGGAAAUCCUGGGACCUGGAGAAGGAUGAAGAAGGAUCCAAGAGGAGAGUUUACAACAAAUGGGUUUCAUAUCUCAGAGACUGACAGCCUUUCCAAGGAGUCUUGGCAGAUUGCACCCGAAGAGCUGAAUGGCAUUCAAGUGUGUCUCAGUGACAGCCUGUAAGGUCUGUGCAAGCAAUUCCUUCUCAAGAGACUGGGCAGGAGCUGGCCAAAAGAAGGACUGAGGGGUGUGGGUUUGGGUAAUAGAGGAGCAUAGGUAAAAGCUAGAAAGUCAAGGGUAGACUUGGAGGAGGGUAGACUCGGAGGAGGGUAGACCCAGGUCCAUCCCAGGGUAGUAAAGAUACUCCAAGGCUAUUCAGCAUAGCAGGGAUGUGAUCACAGCUCUAGGAAAGCCUCAUUAGCUGCAGCAAUGAGUGGGUGAGAUGUCUGAUCUAGAGCAUAAUGUAAGAGUAGUCCAGGGGAAAACUGUAAUCACUGUCACUCUCUGAAAUAAAGGAGACUCUGGAAGGGUGGGAAAAGAGCUGGGUGUUUGGCAUCAAGAGGUGGGGUCCAGAGAGGUAGAACACCAAAUUGUUCAAAAUAGAGAGAUGAGUCGAAGAUGACAUCUGGGCCUACACGUUCCCAUGGGAAGAUCACUGUGGGCUAUUUGACUCUGCGGCUAGCACCUUUGGAAGUCAGAUGGGGGGGGG
rnacentral:lncRNA from 1 species